rnacentral:tRNA from 1 species
GCCCGAUUAGCUCAGCUGGUUAGAGCGUCGUACUAAUAUAACCUCACGGUUAUAAAAAGUCAUGCGAAGGUCAACAGUUCAAUCCUGUUAUUGGGCA